UACGUAGGGGGCAAGCGUUGUCCGGAAUCAUUGGGCGUAAAGCGCGUGUAGGCGGCUGACUAAGUCCGCUCUGAAAGCCCGGGGCUCAACCCCGGGAGGCGGGUGGAUACUGGUCAGCUCGAGUCCGGAAGAGGAGUGUGGAAUUCCUGGUGUAGCGGUGAAAUGCGCAGAUAUCAGGAGGAACACCAAUGGCGAAGGCAGCACUCUGGGACGGUACUGACGCUGAGACGCGAAAGCCAGGGGAGCAAACGGG
rnacentral:rRNA from 1 species